rnacentral:rRNA from 1 species
UGCAGUCGAGCGCAUGGAUUAAGAGCUUGCUCUUAUGAAAUUAGCGGCGGACGGGUGAGUAACACGUGGGUAACCUGCCCAUAAGACUGGGAUAACUCCGGGAAACCGGGGCUAAUACCGAAUAACAUUUUGAACCGCAUGGUUCGAAAUUGAAAGGCGGCUUCGGCUGUCACUUAUGGAUGGACCCGCGUCGCAUUAGCUAGUUGGUGAGGUAACGGUCUCACCAAGGCAACGAUGCGUAGCCGACCUGACAGGGUGAUCGGCCACACUGGGACUGAGACACGGGCCAGACUCCUACGGGAGGCAGCAGUAGGGAAUCUUCCGCAAUGGACGAAAGUCUGACGGAGCAACGCCGCGUGAGUGAUGAAGGCUUUCGGGUCGUAAAACUCUGUUGUUAGGGAAGAACAAGUGCUAGUUGAAUAAGCUGGCACCUUGACGGUACCUAACCAGAAAGCCACGGCUAACUACGUGCCAACAGCCGCGGUAAUACGUAGGUGGCAAGCGUUAUCCGGAAUUAUUGGGCGUAAAGCGCGCGCAGGUGGUUUCUUAAGUCUGAUGUGAAAGCCCACGGCUCAACCGUGGAGGGUCAUUGGAAACUGGAAGACUUGAGUGCAGAAGAGGAAAGUGGAAUUCCAUGUGUAGCGAUGAAAUGCGUAGAGAUAUGGAGGAACACCAGUGGCCAAGGCUACUUUCUGGUCUGUAACUGACACUGAAGCGCGAAAGCGUGUGAAGCAAACAGGAUUAGAUACCCUGGUAGUCCACUCCGUAAACGAUGAGUGCUAACUGUUAGAGGGUUUCCGCCCUUUAAUGCUGAACUUAACGCAUUAAGCACUCCGCCGGUUAAGUACGGCCGCAAGGCUGAAACUCAAAGGAAUUGACGGGAGCCCGCACAUACGUUGGAGCAUGUGGUUUAAUUCGAACCAACCCGAAAAACCUUACCAGGUCUUGACAUCCUCUGAAAACCCUAGAGAAAGGGCUUCUCCUUCGGGAGCAGAAUGACAGGUGCUCCAUGGUUGACAUCAUCUCUUGGCCUCAAAAGUGGGCUAACCCCCGCAACCAGCGCAACCCUUGAUCUUAGUUGCCAUCAUUAAAUUGGCCCAUCCAAAGGGGACUGCCCGGGGGCAACCCGGAGGAGGGUGGGGAUGACCUCCAAACUCGUGCCCCUUAUGACCCGGGGCCCCUCCUGGUUCCAAUGGGACGU